rnacentral:rRNA from 1 species
CACGUAGGGACCGAGCGUUGUCCGGAAUCAUUGGGCGUAAAGAGCGUGUAGGCGGCCACUUAAGUCCUGCGUGAAAUCUUGCGGCUCAACCGCAAGCGGUCGUGGGAAACUGGGUGGCUAGAGUGCGGGAGAGGAGAGUGGAAUUCCUGGUGUAGCGGUGGAAUGCGCAGAUAUCAGGAAGAACACCCGUGGCGAAGGCGGCUUCCUGGACCGACACUGACGCUGAGGCGCGAAAGCUAGGGGAGCAAACGGG